rnacentral:rRNA from 1 species
GAUGAACGCUGGCGGCGUGCCUAAUACAUGCAAGUCGAGCGAACGGACGAGGAGCUUGCUUCUCUGACGUUAGCGGCGGACGGGUGAGUAACACGUGGAUAACCUACCUAUAAGACUGGGAUAACUUCGGGAAACCGGAGCUAAUACCGGAUAAUAUUUUGAACCGCAUGGUUCAAAAGUGAAAGACGGUUUUGCUGUCACUUAUAGAUGGAUCCGCGCUGCAUUAGCUAGUUGGUAAGGUAACGGCUUACCAAGGCAACGAUGCAUAGCCGACCUGAGAGGGUGAUCGGCCACACUGGAACUGAGACACGGUCCAGACUCCUACGGGAGGCAGCAGUAGGGAAUCUUCCGCAAUGGGCGAAAGCCUGACGGAGCAACGCCGCGUGAGUGAUGAAGGUCUUCGGAUCGUAAAACUCUGUUAUUAGGGAAGAACAUAUGUGUAAGUAACUGUGCACAUCUUGACGGUACCUAAUCAGAAAGCCACGGCUAACUACGUG